rnacentral:rRNA from 1 species
UACGAGUGCCCCAAGCGUUAUCCGGAAUUAUUGGGCGUAAAGGGUGUGUAGGUGGUUUUGUUAGUCUUCUGUUAAAGCUCCCGGCUUAACCGGGAAAGUGCAGAGGAAACGGCAAGACUAGAGGAUGUGAGGGGUCUAUGGAACUCAUGGUGUAGGGGUGAAAUCCGUUGAUAUCAUGGGAACACCAAAAGCGAAGGCAAUAGACUGGCGCAUUCCUGACACUGAAA